UGCCCAGGGAUGGGAAUCGAACCCACAGUGUUCCGCUUACCGGGCAGAUGCCAUGUCCACUAGGCUACCCUGGAC
rnacentral:tRNA from 1 species